GACGAACGCUGGCGGCGUGCCUAAUACAUGCAAGUAGAACGCUGAAGGAGGAGCUUGCUUCUCUGGAUGAGUUGCGAACGGGUGAGUAACGCGUAGGUAACCUGCCUGGUAGCGGGGGAUAACUAUUGGAAACGAUAGCUAAUACCGCAUAAGAGUAGAUGUUGCAUGACAUUUGCUUAAAAGGUGCAAUUGCAUCACUACCAGAUGGACCUGCGUUGUAUUAGCUAGUUGGUGAGGUAACGGCUCACCAAGGCAACGAUACAUAGCCGACCUGAGAGGGUGAUCGGCCACACUGGGACUGAGACACGUCCCAGACUCCUACGGGAGGCAGCAGUAGGGAAUCUUCGGCAAUGGACGGAAGUCUGACCGAGCAACGCCGCGUGAGUGAAGAAGGUUUUCGGAUCGUAAAGCUCUGUUGUAAGAGAAGAACGAGUGUGAGAGUGGAAAGUUCACACUGUGACGGUAUCUUACCAGAAAGGGACGGCUAACUACGUG
rnacentral:rRNA from 1 species